AAUGGAAGCAGAGGACAGUGGCGGACGGGUGAGUAACGCGUGAGGAACCUGCCUUGGAGAAGGGGACAACAGUUGGAAACGACUGCUAAUACCGUAUAAUAUAUUUAGAUGGCAUCAUUUAGAUAUCAAAGAAUAAUCGCUCUGAGAUGGCCUCGCGUCUGAUUAGCUAGUUGGUGAGGUAACGGCCCACCAAGGCGACGAUCAGUAGCCGGACUGAGAGGUUGACCGGCCACAUUGGGACUGAGAUACGGCCCAGACUCC
rnacentral:rRNA from 1 species